AAUCAACGCUGGCGGCGUGCCUAACACAUGCAAGUCGAACGCGGUUUUCCCCGCAAGGGGAAAGCUGAGUGGCAAACGGGUGAGUAACACGUGGGUGACCUGCCUUCGGGUGGGGGAUAACGUUCCGAAAGGGACGCUAAUACCGCAUAACAUCCUGUCUUUUAAGAGAUGGACAUCAAAGCCUGGACCGUAAGGCCAGGCGCUUGAAGAGGGCCCGCGCCUGAUUAGCUAGUUGGUGGGGUAANGGCUCACCAAGGCAACGAUCAGUAUCCGGCCUGAGAGGGCGGACGGACACACUGGGACUGAGACA
rnacentral:rRNA from 1 species